UCUCCGUAGGUGAACCUGCGGAGGGAUCAUUACUGAGUGAGGGCCCCCGGCCCGACCUCCAACCCUUUGUGUAUCUCGACCCUGUUGCCUCGGGGGGCGACCCGGCCGUCCGACGUCGGACGCCCCCCAGAGGAUCAAUCAAACAACCUGCAUCUUUGCGUCGGAGUAUUGAAAGCAAAUCAAUCAAAACUUUCAACAACGGAUCUCUUGGUUCUGGUAUCGAUGAAGAACGCAGC
rnacentral:misc_RNA from 1 species